rnacentral:lncRNA from 1 species
GCUGCUUUCAGGGCCUGCUGGCCGGCCCUGCCCGCUCACCCCUGGCCGCCUAUCUUAGCGUUCCUGGGGGUGGGGCCCCUUAGGCCGCCUUUCUGAUUUUCCUUUCCAGAGCCAAACUCGUGUGUUUCUUCAACACUCUGACUUGACCUAUGCCGAUGACUGGGGGAGUGAGGACGGAGGGGUGCAGAGAAAAGGCAGCCAGGCGCAAUCGCGUUGACCUAUCGCCAUCUCUUCUUAGCUUCUCCACGCCGGGCCACCCCUGUCCUUCAUCCUGAUGGUGACAGCCUCCACUCCCGCCUCUGCCAAGCGGUGGUCCAGUGUCUCUCGAGAAUGAAAAUGACCAGGCCAUCCUCACAUUCUACAGAGGUUAACCCAGCAACUUAGGGACACAGCUGGGGCAGGACUCCCGGGCUCCUGGUCAGUCCCUCUAUGGGGAUGCUAAGCCUCAGGGCUGACAUCUCUUAGCUCUGCCUUCCAGGGAGAAUUUCACAGGGCCUCCCAUUUGUGCUGCUGUGAAGGCCGUCCUGCUCCUUGUCAAGCCUGUCUUCUCCGUGGCUUGAGGAAGAUCUCUUUCGUGCCCAAAUUGUGAAUAAGUAAACUGGAUGCAGCAUCUCUGAUUGCUCUGGGAAGAAAUUUAUGAGAAGUGCCUGAGAAAAGUCAUGAUUUUAUGCCUCUGCUAAGCAACCUGUUGGACACUGCUUGGUAUCUACAGCUAAGUGGUUCCCUGUUCAGACCUGCUUCCUCUGAUUAGCAGCCACAGAUCUUCUGGGUUUUCACUUGUUUAUUUCUGUUUAUUGUCAUCUCUGGGAAGAUGGCUUCAAAUUUUUUAUCCCCCAAUUAUUUAACCCCAUAUCAAUUGAUAAGAAGAUCUUUUCUUUCUUUCUUUCUUUCUUUCUUUUCUUUUCUUUCUUUCUUCCUUUUUUUUUUUUUUUUUUUCGAGAUAGAGCCUCACUGUGUCACCCAGGCUGGAGUGCAGUGGGGUGAUCUUGGCUCACUGCAACCUCCACCUACCAGGUUCAAGCAAUCCUCCUGCCACAGCCUCCCAAGUAGCUGGGAUUACAGAUGAGUCCCACCACACCCAGCUAAUUUUUGUAUUUUUUUUUAUAGAGACAGGGUUUCGCCAUGUUGCUUAGGCUUGUCUGGAACUCCUGAGCUCAAAUGAUCUGCCUGCUUCGACCUCGCAAAGUGCGGGGAAGUUAUAAUUGAAGGGUGUGAUGGUUAAUUUUUGGUGUCAACUUGACUGGGUUAAGGGAUACCCAGAUAGCUGGUACAGCAUUGUCUCUGGGGAUGUCUUUGAGUGUGUUUCUGGUAGAGGUUGGCAUUUGGAUCAGUGAACUGAGUGAGGAAGGAAGAUUCAUCCUCACCUGUGUGGGCUGGGCUCCAUCCAAUCAGUUGAAUUCCUCAAUAGAACAAAAGGGCUGAGGAAAGGCAAAUUCACUCCCUUUUCUGAAGCUGGGACACCCUCCUUCUCCCGCGCUUGGACAUCAGCACUCCAGGGUCUCCAGCCGUCGGACUCCAGGACCUGCACCGAUGGCCCCUCAGGUUCUCAGGCCUUUGCACUCAGACUGAGCUAUGUCACCAGCUUCCCUGGUUCUCUAGCUUGUAGACAGCAAAUCAUAGGACUUCUCAGCCUCCAUAAUCAUGUGAGCCAAUUUCCAAAUUAAAUCCCCUCUCAUUUAUCUAUAUCUCUAUCUAUCUUAUUUGGUUGUUUCUCUGGAGAAUCCUGAUACAAAGGGUUUACAUUGAAUGUCAUUCGCAUAUGGUUAUAUAAAUAGUAGCCGUUUUAACACCCUCAUCUAAUUCUAUCAUGAAUGUCAUUUCUGGAUCUGUUUAUAUUGAUUGAUUUUUCUCCAGAUCCUAGGUCAUAUUAUCCUGCUUCUUUGCAAGCCCAGUAUUUUUGUUUGGACACGGGACAUUGUCAGUUUUGUACUGUUGGUGGCUAGAUUUUAUUAUAUUCCUUUAAACAGUGUUGUGCUUUGUUCUGAGAUGCAGUAAAGUUACUUACGAUUAGUUUGAUCUUUUUGAGCCUUGAUGUUCAACAUUGUUACGGCAGAUCCAGAACAGCCUUUGUUUUAGGACUAAUUUGUCACCUCUUUGAGGCAAUUCUCUUCUACUUUUCUCCUCGAUGUCCUGAAUUUUAGGGGGUCUUCCCAGUCUGGCUGAUGGAAAUGUAGUUUUUGUUGCAUAAAAUUUACCUCAAAACUUAGCAGCUUGAAUCAACAGGUAUUUAUUCCCUGCAGUUUCUUGUGUCAGGAAUCCAGGAGUGGCCCAGCUGGUGGCUCUAACUCAAGCUCUCUCGUGAGGUCGCAGUCAAGGUGAUGGCUGGAUUGGAGCCCUCUGACUGGGGCCAAAGGAUCUGCCUCCAGGACGGUGACUCACAUGGCUGUAGCCAGGGGCUCCAUUUCUUGCCUCAUGGACCUGUCCGGAGGCUGAUUGAGCAAUACAGCUUCUGGCUUUCCCCCAGAGGGGCUGACCCAAGAGAGAGCAAGCAGGAGCCACAAGGCUUUCUACACCCUAGUCUCUAAAGUCACAAACCAUCAUCGUCACUUUCACCACAUUCUGUCCUUUAGAAACAUAUUAGUAAGCCCAGCCCACAUUCAAGGGAGGUAGGUGUAGGCGCCUCUUUUUGAAAGGAAGACUAUCAGAUAAUUUAGGGAUCUAUUUCUAAGCUGCUCUCACAGACACACAAUAUCCCCAGGCCUGAGUGAUUUCUGGAGAUCGUUCUGCCUGCAAGCUCCUUCCUUGGUGGUUUCCUCACAUUCAUGUGCAGACCAGUACUCAGCUGAAGACUCAAGGCACUCCUUGCAGAUCUCUGAACCAUUCUCUGUGGCUCCUUCUUCUGCAGAUCUCUGCCCUGCAAAUUCUAGCUCCCUUGGCCUCCCGGAAGCCCACACUCCAUCUCCUGAGCUGGGCAGGCCCUCAGGCUCUGUUUGGGCUCCCUCUCCUGGCACUGCUGAGGUGGACACUUGUGAGGCUGCUCUUAUUGCUUCCCCUCUCCCAGGAAUCCCUGUCCUGUUCUGCCUAUUGUCCAGUGUCCACUAACUGUUGUUUCACAUACUUGUCCAGCUUUCCGGCUGUUUUUAAGACAGGAGGGUAAACCUGCUCCCUGUUAUUCCAUCAGGACCAGAAGUGGGACUCCCCAGCAGCGGUGCUGGCUCCUGAAAAUGAGUCAGCGGCCAUGUAGCAGAGGGGAGACUGACACCCUCCCCUCUUCUUCUUCUUUUUUUUUUUUUUUAAUUAUACCUUAAGUUGUGGGAUACAUGUGCAGAACGUGCGGGUUUGUUAUAUAGGUAUACACAUGCCAUGGUGAUUUGCUGCACCCAUCAACUCAUCAUCUACAUUAGGUGUUUCUCCUAAUGCUAUCCCUCCCCUAGCCCCCCACUCCCCAACAGGCCCCAGUGUGUGAUGUUCCCCUCCCUGUGUCCAUGUGUUCUCAUUAUUCAACUCCCACUUAUGAGUGAGAACAUGCGGUGUUUGGUUUUCCGUUCCUGUGUUAGUUUGCUGAGAAUGAUGGCUUCCAGCUUCAUCCAUGCCCCUACAAAGGACAUGACCUCAUCUUUUUUAUGGCUGCAUAGUAUUCCAUGGUGUAUAUGUGCCACUUUUUCUUUAUCCAGUCCAUCAUUGAUGGGCAUUUGGGUUGGUUCCAAGUCUUUGCUAUUGUAAAUAGUGCUGCAAUAAACAUACAUAUGCAUGUGUCUUUAUAGUAGAAUGAUUUAUAAUCCUUUGGGUAUAUACCCAGUAAUGGGAUUGCUGGGUCAAAUGGUAUUUCUGGUUCUAGAUCCUUUAGGAAUCGCUACACUGUCUUCCACAAUGGUUGAACUAAUUUACACACCCACCAACAGUGUAAAAGUGUUCCUAUUUCUCCACAUCCUCUCCAG